rnacentral:rRNA from 1 species
GUGAAAUAGUACCUGAAACCGUGUGCCUACAAACAGUGGGAGCUCUUCGGAGUGACCGCGUACCUUUUGCAUAAUGAGCCAACGAGUUGCGUGUAGUGGCAAGGUUAAGCCGAGAGGUGUAGCCGUAAGGAAACUGAGUCUGAAUAGGGCGUACAGUCGCUGCAUGCAGACCCGAAGCCGAGUGAGCUACCCAUGGCCAGGUUGAAGCGUUGGUAAAACUUCGUGGAGGACCGAACACACAAAGGUUGAAAACUUUGGUGAUGAGCUGUGGGUCGGAGUGAAAGGCUAAUCAAACUCGGAAAUAGCUGGUUCUCCCCGAAAUGCAUUUACGUGCAGCGUUGGGUAGUACUGUCGGGGGUAAAGCACUGACAGGGCUAGGGGGCUUCACCGCCUACCAAACCCUAUCAAACUCUGAAUACCGACAAGUGACGCCCAGCAGUGAGGCUGCGGGAGAUAAGUUUCGUAGCCGAGAGGGAAAGAGCCCAGAUUCCCAGCUAAGGUCCCUAAGCCCUCACUAAGUGGUCGAGGAUGUAGGGGAGCCCAGACAACCAGGAGGUUGGCUUAGAAG